rnacentral:rRNA from 1 species
AGAGUUUGAUCCUGGCUCAGGACGAACGCUGGCGGCGCGCCUAACACAUGCAAGUCGAACGAGAGAGAGGAAGCUUGCUUCCUCAAUCGAGUGGCGAACGGGUGAGUAACGCGUGAGGAACCUGCCUCAAAGAGGGGGACAACAGUUGGAAACGACUGCUAAUACCGCAUAAGCCCACAGCUCGGCAUCGAGCAGAGGGGAAAGGAGCAAUCCGCUUUGAGAUGGCCUCGCGUCCGAUUAGCUAGUUGGUGAGGUAAUGGCCCACCAAGGCGACGAUCGGUAGCCGGACUGAGAGGUUGAACGGCCACAUUGGGACUGAGACACGGCCCAGACUCCUACGGGAGGCAGCAGUGGGGAAUAUUGCACAAUGGGGGAAACCCUGAUGCAGCGACGCCGCGUGGAGGAAGAAGGUCUUCGGAUUGUAAACUCCUGUUGUUGAGGAAGAUAAUGACGGUACUCAACAAGGAAGUGACGGCUAACUACGUGCCAGCAGCCGCGGUAAAACGUAGGUCACAAGCGUUGUCCGGAAUUACUGGGUGUAAAGGGAGCGCAGGCGGGAAGACAAGUUGGAAGUGAAAUCUAUGGGCUCAACCCAUAAACUGCUUUCAAACUGUUUUUCUUGAGUAGUGCAGAGUAGGCGGAAUUCCCGGUGUAGCGGUGGAAUGCGUAGAUAUCGGGAGGAACACCAGUGGCGAAGGCGGCCUACUGGGCACCAACUGACGCUGAGGCUCGAAAGUGUGGGUAGCAAACAGGAUUAGAUACCCUGGUAGUCCACACCGUAAACGAUGAUUACUAGGUGUUGGAGGAUUGACCCCUUCAGUGCCGCAGUUAACACAAUAAGUAAUCCACCUGGGGAGUACGACCGCAAGGUUGAAACUCAAAGGAAUUGACGGGGGCCCGCACAAGCAGUGGAGUAUGUGGUUUAAUUCGACGCAACGCGAAGAACCUUACCAAGUCUUGACAUCCCUUGACGAACAUAGAAAUAUGUUUUCUCUUCGGAGCAAGGAGACAGGUGGUGCAUGGUUGUCGUCAGCUCGUGUCGUGAGAUGUUGGGUUAAGUCCCGCAACGAGCGCAACCCUUACUGUCAGUUACUACGCAAGAGGACUCUGGCAGGACUGCCGUUGACAAAACGGAGGAAGGUGGGGAUGACGUCAAAUCAUCAUGCCCUUUAUGACUUGGGCUACACACGUACUACAAUGGCGUUAAACAAAGAGAAGCAAGACCGCGAGGUGGAGCAAAACUCAGAAACAACGUCCCAGUUCGGACUGCAGGCUGCAACUCGCCUGCACGAAGUCGGAAUUGCUAGUAAUCGUGGAUCAGCAUGCCACGGUGAAUACGUUCCCGGGCCUUGACACACCGCCCGUC